AAAAUUUAGAUGCAGAGACAUUUUAUUAACAAAAUUAAAUUUAAUAAUCGUAAUUAUUUGACAGAAAUUAAUAGUAAUUUUGAACAAAGAGACCAUUAUAUUAACGACACAACUAAAACAAACACAACCGCCUAAUUCAUUAUCUAUGAAAAUUCAAAGGUUGAAGAUCAGAAAAAGGCAAGCAUUUUAGAGACAGAACCAUAAUAAAAUAGCUGAACUACUCGUAGACCCAUUCAAAACUCAAACAAAACAUCCUUUGGCCAAGUUGUAAACCAACUCCAAUCUCUUCGCCUUCAAAAAUCUGCAGCAAGGAAGUUUCCAGACAGUGAUACCUUCUCGCCAAGUUUGAAUGGCUGGAGACCUUUGUAAGGGCAUGUGCUGCAGCGAAAAGCAUCCCCUAGACCACAAUUGCCACAUGCUGAUUGAGGAUUGCUCAGCUGAUCCAUUGUCAGUCCCAACUUUACUUUCUCCUCUGUCUCAGCUCUCCCACAUGUGCAGUUUUUGCACGCUUUCCUUGUACUUCCUACUUCGCAGUCACCAACAGGUGGUAAUUGAGGUUUUUUCAAAUCCUCUUCAGUCAAGAGGCUAUCUUCAUCAAUCAAAUCAUCAUCAAUCUGAACCUUAACUGAACUUGUUAUGGGCUUCUUAAUGGUAAAGGAUGACCCAAUCUUCCAAGAAGGCUUCUUGGCCUUAACCCCAAAAGACUGAAUGACUCCAGAUAGUCCAGCUUUCAAUUGGAGACCCUGUGCUUCUAAGAACCCCGCUAACAGCAACUUGCGCUCAAGAGUAAGUAUUGCCUUGUCUGUUUCCUCUGCAACAAAUUGAAGACUCUUGUAAAUCAGGACAGUCCCACCAGGCUUCAACACUCUUGAAAUUUCGCCUAACAACAGGUCACUGGGAAAUUGGAGUGACCUACUUAUGGAAAUGACUAUAUCCACAGAUGAAGAAUCCACUGGCAGCUUACUUAGAGAUGAUGCUUGAGUGAUAACUUGAGGAUCACACUGCUCGGCUCUUUCAUUAGCAAGUUCCCUAACUGCAUUUAUCACCAUACUUACAGGAAGAACGGUAUCAUCUGUAAAAGCUAGCACAGUAUUCUGUGUCUUUGUAGUAUCCAUCUUAAUAAUUCUUCAAAAACCUCGGAGAUCGAGCAAAAACACUCAAGAAAGAGAAGCUCCUUGGCUUUCCCUUCGUAGACGCGGAGGAAAAUUCUAGAACACGGAAAUCCCAAUCGGAGAUACGAAACGAUGAGAAAUAGAAUCGAGGAAAAUGAGAGAGAAUUUGACGGGUUUUAGUUGAGAUGGUUUUUAGCGUUGCCGAUUCGAAUUUUACGUAUGAUAAAUAAUCAAAAUGCAAAUGAAUAUUUUGUUCUUGUUAUGGAGGACUAUGACCUCGUAAAGGCGGUGAACGUUACACCUAUUCGAUGAUCGCUUAGUUGAUGAUGUUGACUUGAUUGGGCGGCCGCGUUUGGAGACAGUUUGGGCGGAGAAGAGAAACAGGAGAGACUGAGAUUCGAUGGCAAUCGUAG
rnacentral:misc_RNA from 1 species